rnacentral:rRNA from 1 species
GACGAACGCUGGCGGCGUGCCUUACACAUGCAAGUCGAACGGGGCAGCAAUGCCUAGUGGCGGACGGGUGAGGAAUACGUAGGAAUCUGCCCUUAAGUGGGGGAUAACCAGGGGAAACCCUGACUAAUACCGCAUGAUCUCUUCGGAGCAAAGAGGGGGACCGCAAGGCCUCUCGCUUCUGGAUGAGCCUACGUCUGAUUAGCUAGUUGGUAGGGUAAAGGCCUACCAAGGCGACGAUCAGUAACUGGUCUGAGAGGAUGAUCAGUCACACCGGAACUGAGACACGGUCCGGACUCCUACGGGAGGCAGCAGUGGGGAAUAUUGGACAAUGGGCGCAAGCCUGAUCCAGCAAUGCCGCGUGUGUGAAGAAGGCCUUCGGGUUGUAAAGCACUUUAGCCUGGAAAGAAAAAACUUUGGUUAACACCCAAAGUCUUGACGGUACCAGGAGAAUAAGCACCGGCUAACUCUGUGCCAGCCGCCGCCGUAAGAC